CGCGUCAGGCGGGAGCCGCCAUCUUGGCACCGCUCCACCCCCUCAGGUGGUACCUUGUGCAGCCUUGCGCUGCCUUGAGGGUGUGCUCCGUCAGGCCGCCGUUCCUGAAUUCGGUAGCUCGUAGCUAAAUUUUGUCUCUGUGCACCACGCCUACUCGUCUGUUAACACACCUUCAGGGACAGUGGCCCCACCGCCUCCCUGGGUAGCCCGUGCUAACAACGCUACACAGCCCUCUGUGUGGAAAAAGUUUUCCUACUGUCCACCCUGACCCUCCCCAGGCACAAUUUGAGACCGUUACCAAAAAAAGAUUCCCUCGGGGAAAGGAAAGCCGUGCACCCGCCUUGGAGCACUUUGUCCCGGGCUGUGCCGUGAGGAGAGGAGCAGCAGUGCAGAGGGGAGCAUGUGGAGAUGCGCCCGGAGAAGGAGCAGCCGGCACAGCUGCCAGCCCUUCCCGUUGGGUUUCCAGGCAGGAGUAAAACAAUGGCUGCUGAGAUAUGUUACAUGGAAUGGGAACCUGGACUACCUCUUGCACAAAGCUGCUGAGGAAAAGCAUACGACUUAGAGAUGCUUCCAAGUUUUCAUACGGACUGAACAGGAUUCGGUGCAGAACCCACAGAUGUGGAUUUACCAGAGGGCUCACAGAAGGUGAUUCCAGCAGAUGCCAGCUAUGAGCCUCCUGCUAUUGUAAGGCCGUACAGCCAAGGAGUGCUGAGUCAGCUGCACGACAGAGGAGUCCAGAGAAGCAAAGUGGGAUCAGAUGUGAAAAGUUUGGGUGUAACCCAUUGUGCUGCCCUUUGCUGACAGCCUCAAGACCCUGUGCCUACCUUCAGGCUGUACAGAGACCCAGCACAUAUUUGUCGCAACAUCAGUGGGGACAUAAAGGAGUGAAGCUUGAAACCAAGCAUCCAUCCAUCUGUGGAGGUCUUAGUACCACUGAGGUCAGAAGCAGUGGACUUGCUAACGUGGGUGUAAGUCAUACAGUCAAAGCAUGGAUGGGAAUCUAAUGAUCUCGCCCACACAAGAGGAGAACUGUUCCCUUGAAAGGAUCGACAGUAGCCGGGCUGUUUUAAAAUACCAUAAUAAAUGGUAUUCUCUACUAGUGGGACACGAUGCUCAGUGUUACGACCUGUUUCCAGACAAUGGUUUAAUUAAACAUUUAAUGGAUGCAUCUCAUUUCUUUGCACGAGCUCCACUCUAAACAACCGAGCUAAUAAUGUAAGCACCACAGUUUGAUGAUUAAAAUGAGAGUUUUCAUGAACACUGCCCCCCUGACAAACAAAAGGGCUGAUACCGUGCAGAGGAAGCUGGGUCCCUGUGAGCCCACAGCGCAGUGACCCACAUUUAGCAUGAAACCAGAUUUAUGGCUGACCAUCAGCAUUUUAAAAAUUACCAGGCAAACAGUUUUAAACAGUGAUCUUUUGGCCACGUCCGGUUCUUUUAUUCAAUUAAUUAAGCAAUUCAUUUAAACAAACGAUUGCCUUUAGGAGUUCUCCUUAAUUAGAGAUUCAGCACCAGCUUCAAGACAUUUCCUCAAACAAACUCUGGCACCCAUAUCAAAUCAACAGAGCUGGGACCUUCCUUUAAGCCCGGCCGUGUGAGGAGUUGCAUGCAGAGCUGUGAGUUUGCCCAGCAGUUUGCUGCUUACAAAAGGGCCGUGCGUUUUCAGGAAGAACUUCAAUAAGAAAUAUCUACAUGGACAUUUCUUUUUCUAUCCCUCCCAUAGCUAAAAAAAAAAAGAAGCAUUUUUUGCAAAGCAGUGACAAAUCUCGGGUGUUAAUUAAAAACCUUAAGAGCAAUAAGUUUGUCAAAGCAUUCUGAAAGUCUGACCAAGCUCUACCUCUUAGAGGCUGCGAUUCAAUGACACUCAGAACAUCGUCCUUUCAGC
ensembl:lncRNA